GACGAACGCUGGCGGCGUGCUUAACACAUGCAAGUCGAACGAAGUGGCGAAAGGGUGAGUAACGCGUAAUCAACCUGCCCUUCAGAGGGGGACAACAGUUGGAAACGACUGCUAAUACCGCAUACAGAUGGCGGGGAUUGCGGCUGAUUAGCUAGUUGGCGGGGUAACGGCCCACCAAGGCGAUUAUAAGUAGCCGGUCUGAGAGGAAGGACGGCCACAUUGGGACUGAGACACGGCCCAGACUCCUACAGGAGGCAGCAGUGGGGAAUCUUCCGCAAUGGACGAAAGUCUGACGGGGCAACGCCGCGUGAGUGAUGACGGCCGUCGGGUUGUAAAGCUCUGUUAAUCGGGACGCGGUACCGGAAUAGAAAGCCACGGCUAACUACGUGCCAGCAGCCGCGGUAAUUC
rnacentral:rRNA from 1 species